ACGGUUGAGGGAGUUCAGAAAGAUGCCACACAAGGUCGGAAGCAGGAAAAACCCUGGAGGGGUCGGUCUUUUACAAACUUCGGCUGGGGGGUAUUUUAUACCCAACACCAGUCCCCCUACUUUCGAGUUCGGAUUCUGAAUGAAGGAAGCACAGAGAAAUUUUUAGGAUCGAAGUUGCCCCCCUCGAUUUUCGCACUCAGUGGUUGUCAG
rnacentral:lncRNA from 1 species